CGUAGGGGCAAGCGUUAUCCGGAUUUACUGGGUGUAAAGGGAGCGUAGACGGACUGGCAAGUCUGAUGUGAAAACCCGGGGCUCAACCCCGGGACUGCAUUGGAAACUGUCAGUCUAGAGUGUCGGAGGGUAAGUGGAAUUCCUAGUGUAGCGGUGAAAUGCGUAGAUAUUAGGAGGAACACCAGUGGCGAAGGCGGCUUACUGGACGAUAACUGACGUUGAGGCUCGAAAGCGUGGGGAGCAAACAGGAUU
rnacentral:rRNA from 1 species